AUGAUUGUUUGGCCUAGUGAACCAAACUGGGAGACCAUUUUGAAGGCUCAGGAAACCUUUGCAGGUGUUUUGAGUUGAUUAGCAUAUUCUAAU